rnacentral:rRNA from 1 species
AUUGAACGCUGGCGGCAGGCCUAACACAUGCAAGUCGAGCGGAUGAAGGGAGCUUGCUCCUGGAUUCAGCGGCGGACGGGUGAGUAAUGCCUAGGAAUCUGCCUGGUAGUGGGGGAUAACGUCCGGUAACGGGCGCUAAUACCGCAUACGUCCUGAUGGAGAAAGUGGGGGAUCUUCGGACCUCACGCUAUCAGAUGAGCCUAGGUCGGAUUAGCUAGUUGGUGGGGUAAAGGCCUACCAAGGCGACGAUCCGUAACUGGUCUGAGAGGAUGAUCAGUCACACUGGAACUGAGACACGGUCCAGACUCCUACGGGAGGCAGCAGUGGGGAAUAUUGGACAAUGGGCGAAAGCCUGAUCCAGCCAUGCCGCGUGUGUGAAGAAGGUCUUCGGAUUGUAAAGCACUUUAAGUUGGGAGGAAGGGCAGUAAGUUAAUACCUUGCUGUUUUGACGUUACCAACAGAAUAAGCACCGGCUAACUUCGUG